GAUGAACGCUGGCGGCGUGCCUAAUACAUGCAAGUCGAGCGAACGGACGAGAAGCUUGCUUCUCUGAUGUUAGCGGCGGACGGGUGAGUAACACGUGGAUAACCUACCUAUAAGACUGGGAUAACUUCGGGAAACCGUAGCUAAUACCGGAUAAUAUUUUGAACCGCAUGGUUCAAAAGUGAAAGACGGUCUUGCUGUCACUUAUAGAUGGAUCCGCGCUGCAUUAGCUAGUUGGUAAGGUAACGGCUUACCAAGGCAACGAUGCAUAGCCGACCUGAGAGGGUGAUCGGCCACACAGGAACUGAGACACGGUCCAGACACCUACGGGAGGCAGCAGUAGGGAAUCUUCCGCAAUGGGCGAAAGCAUGACGGAGCAACGCCGCGUGAGUGAUGAAGGUCUUCGGAUCGUAAAACUCUGUUAUUAGGGAAGAACAUAUGUGUAAGUAACUGUGCACAUCUUGACGGUACCAAAGCAGAAAGCCACGGCUAACUACGU
rnacentral:rRNA from 1 species